rnacentral:lncRNA from 1 species
AGAAAGAGAGUGAGAGGGGAGAGUAGCUCUGAAGGUGAAAGCCCAAGAAGGAGUUCUUGAGCUGUGAAGGUCCAUCUUCUUCCUUCUUCUCCCUUUCAGUCAACCUUCUGCCUCCCUGCGAGCUAGCACUCCCCGGAAAGCUGAUCAUUCCGGAGCUUUGCGUGGACGAGUCAUCAAGGCCGAACGCUUGUGCGGCUGCGAAGCAUC